CCUAGCCCUUCAGAGGGGGACAACAGUUGGAAACGACUGCUAAUACCGCAUACGAUCCAAUCUCGGCAUCGAGACUGGAUGAAAGGUGGCCUCUAUUUAUAAGCUAUCACCGAAGGAGGGGAUUGCGUCUGAUUAGCUAGUUGGAGGGGUAACGGCCCACCAAGGCGAUGAUCAGUAGCCGGUCUGAGAGGAUGAACGGCCACAUUGGGACUGAGACACGGCCCAG
rnacentral:rRNA from 1 species